rnacentral:rRNA from 1 species
GAUGAACGCUGGCGGCGUGCCUAAUACAUGCAAGUCGAGCGACCGGACGAUAAGCUUGCGUCUUUGAUGUUAGCGGCGGACGGGUGAGUAACACGUGGAUAACCUACCUAUAUUACUGGGGUAACUUCGGGAAACCGGAGCUACUACCAGAUGAUAUUAUGAACCGCAUAGUUCAAAAGAUAAAGACGGUCUUGCUGUCACUUAUAGAUGGUUCCGCGCUGCAUUAGCUAGUUGGUAAGGUAACGGCUUACCAAGGCAACGAUGCAUAGCCGACCUGAGAGGGUGAUCGGCCACACUGGAACUGAGACACGGUCCAGACUCCUACGGGAGGCAGCAGUAGGGAAUAUUCCACAAUGGGCGAAAGCCUGAUGGAGCAAUGCCGCGUGAGUGAUGAAGGUCUUCGGAUCGUAAAGCCCUGUUAUUAGGGAAGAAAAGAUGUGUAUGAAACCGCGGACAUCCUGACGGUACCUAAUCAGAAAGCCACGGCUAACUUCGUG